UACGGAGGGGACUAGCGUUGUUCGGAAUUACUGGGCGUAAAGCGCACGUAGGCGGAUUUGUUAGUCAGGGGUGAAAUCUCCCGGGCUUAACUGGGAAACUGCAUCGGAAACUGAUCGGCUUGAAGGUGGGAGAGGGUAGUGGAAUUCCCGGUGGUAGUGGUGAAAUGCGCAGAUAUCAGGAGGAACACCGGUGGCGAAGGCGGUUCUCUCGGGCCUUACCUGACGCUCAGGCGCGAAAGCUAGGGGAGCGAACAGG
rnacentral:rRNA from 1 species